rnacentral:piRNA from 1 species
UGGAGUUGUAACUCUGGACUGUGG